rnacentral:rRNA from 1 species
AACGAACGCUGGCGGCAUGCCUAACACAUGCAAGUCGAACGAGACCUUCGGGUCUAGUGGCGCACGGGUGCGUAACGCGUGGGAACCUGCCCUUAGGUUCGGAAUAACUCCCCGAAAGGGGUGCUAAUACCGGAUAAUGUCUUCGGACCAAGGAUUUAUCGCCUUUGGAUGGGCCCGCGUUGGAUUAGCUAGUUGGUAGGGUAAAAGCCUACCAAGGCGACGAUCCAUAGCUGGUCUGAGAGGAUGAUCAGCCACACUGGGACUGAGACACGGCCCAGACUCCUACGGGAGGCAGCAGUGGGGAAUAUUGGACAAUGGGCGAAAGCCUGAUCCAGCAAUGCCGCGUGAGUGAUGAAGGCCUUAGGGUUGUAAAGCUCUUUUACCCGGGAUGAUAAUGACAGUACCGGGAGAAUAAGCUCCGGCGAACUCCGU